rnacentral:tmRNA from 1 species
GGACAAUGAAAUAAGCUUAUUGGACCCGGGGGCGGUACCCGGCGCCUCCACCAAAAUAUAAUUUGUUUUUUUAUAUUUUAGUGGGGGCGAAACAGGAUCGACAAAAGUGUAAAGAUUGCUCUUUUACUCGGUAUAGUACCACCGUUAUCGGACUAAAUGAGUAGUUGCAAAUGACAACUAUGCGGAAGUACGUCUCGCUGCCUGAGGUGGUGUGAAUGCUUCAAACUAAGUCUUAAACCGUCGCAGGUUUAAGCGGGGUUCGAAGGCACCUGGCAAACAGAAGC